AACCUGCUGGGUCCUGUUCCAGCCCGGGAGUUCUUGUUGUUUUGCUCUUCGCGAUAAAUGUUGCUGCUGUUCACUCUUUAGGUCCGCGCUGCGUUUAUGAGCUGUAACACGCACCACCGAGAAGGUCUGCAGCUUCACUGCAGAAGCCAGUGAGACCACAAACCUACCGAAAGUAAGAAACUCUGGACACAUGUGAACAUCUGAGGGAACAAACUCCGGACACACCAUCUUUCAGAACUGUAACACUCACCGCGAGCGUCGGCGGCUUGGUUCUUGAAGUCAGCGAGACCAAGAACCCACCAAUUCCGAACACUCUGUGAGUCAUUUUUUUGGUUCUUUUUUUAUCUUCAGGAGGUAACUACUCAGAGGAACAGUUCAAAUGGUGACAGUGUAGGCAAAACACAUCACCUAACUUACCAAAGCCUAAAUUUACCCUCUUGUGUCAUUUACAUCAUAUUCUG
rnacentral:lncRNA from 1 species